GUGCUAUUCCAAGCUAUAGCUCCGCUACGGAUACGAUCACCAAGAAGCUUAGACUUAACCAAAGGGUUGGCACGAUCAUGGUGCGAAGAGUUCAAGAUAAGAAUCCUCGAUCUGCACACCUUCCUCUUUGUAGUUGGUCGAACGGAGUCUACCAGCUCCCAAGAUACCUCAGAAGACCACGACUUAAUAUGCAUGGAGUUGUCUUUUAUGGGAAGAAAAAGUGCCUUAGGGCCAGUCAGUG
rnacentral:lncRNA from 1 species